AUUGAACGCUGGCGGCAGGCCUAACACAUGCAAGUCGAGCGCGCGGCGGACGGGUGAGUAAUGUCUGGGAAACUGCCUGAUGGAGGGGGAUAACUACUGUCAACGGUAUCUCAUACCGCAUCCCAUCAGAUGUGCCCAGAUGGGAUUUGCUAGUAGGUGUGGUAACGGCUCACCUAGGCGACGCUCGCUCGCUGGUCUGAGAGGAUGACCAGCCAAACUGGGACUGAGACACGGUCCAGACUCCUACGGGAGGCAGCAGUGGGGAAUAGUGCACAAUGGGCGCAAGCCUGAUGCAGCCAUGCCGCGUGUGUGAAGAAGGCCUUCGGGUUGUAAAGCACUUUCAGCGGGGAGGCGUUACCCGCAGAAGAAGCACCGGCUAACUCCGUGCCAGCAGCCGCGGUAAUAC
rnacentral:rRNA from 1 species